ensembl:lncRNA
AAAACAUCUGCCCUCUUUGCACCAUGGAGGCUGAAUUACCAGACAGAGCUCAUCUACCAAUGCAGCCUUGAGAGCCAGAAGCUUGGGUCUGCAGAGGGGAAAUGGAAAUGAAAAUGUCUGCAUAGGAGCACCCCCACCCCUACAUGCUAAGUCAUUCGGACAGACAGCCGUGCAAGGUAGACAGAAGAAGUGAAGAAGUGAAGUCGCUCAGUCGUGUCGGACUCUUUGCGACCCUGUAGACUGUAGCCUGCCAGGAUCCUCUGUCCAUGGGAUUCUCCAGGCAAGAAUACUGGAGUGGGUUGCCAUUUCCUUCUCCAGAGGAUCUUCCCAACCCAGGGACUGAACCUGCAUCUCCUGCAUUUCAGGCAGACGCUUUAUCCUCUGAGCCACCAGGGAAGGUAGACAAAACUGAUAUUCUAUUUCAUCCUUGAAGAAGCUAAGAAGUUAGAUGAUGAGCCCAAGGUCCCCCUGCUGCUGGAUUCUUAACCACUGGACCACGAGGGAAAUCCCUGAUGGCUGGAUAUAAUUUAGAUAUGUGGAGACACGGAAGAGUUUUAAGAAGAGGAAAAAGCAUCAUCUCACAUGGCGACAGAGGAUGAGAUGGUUGGAUGGCAUCAAUGACUCAAUGGACAUGAGUUUGAACAAACUCUGGGAGAUGGUGAAGGACAAGGGAGCCUGGCCUGCUGCAGCCCAUAGGGUCGCAGUCAGACUCGACUUAGCUGCUGAACAACAAU